UACAGAGGAGCCAAGCGUUGUCCGGAUUUAUUGGGCGUAAAGAGCGUGUAGGCGGUUAUGCAGGUCCGCUGUGAAAACUGGAGGCUUAACCUCCAGACGUCGGUGGAAACCGUAUGACUAGAGUCCGGAAGAGGAGAGUGGAAUUCCUGGUGUAGCGGUGAAAUGCGCAGAUAUCAGGAAGAACACCCGUGGCGAAGGCGGCUCUCUGGGACGGUACUGACGCUGAGACGCGAAAGCGUGGGGAGCGAACAGG
rnacentral:rRNA from 1 species